AUGGACUAGGUGAGUGCUAUUUUACAUACUUUACUGGAAGACUGAGGAUGGACCAGAUAACUGGAUAUGAAGAGACCAGAGCAGGCUGUGCUAAACCGGGAAUUAUACUUUACACCAAAAAGGACAAAGAACUGUGUGUCGAUCCCAGCAAUCGCUGGGUUCAGAACGUGAAGCAGAAGCUGGAUCAGCAGUAACGCCUCCUGUCUGCCUGGCAAAACACGAAGAAUUAAUUUUAUUACAUUUCUGGUUCUGCUGAAAUUCUCAUACAACAUUACUUUCUGUCAUAAUCAAAAUCAUUUUAACUUUUGCUGCAUUUUAUACUUCAAUAUCUUUAGCUUAUAUAUUUUUAAAACAGCAGUCAAAUGUCAGUUACACUCAUAUUCCUUUGCAUGCAUGUAACUGAUUAAAGAUAAUUGAAAGUUAA